rnacentral:rRNA from 1 species
UACGUAGGGCGCAAGCGUUGUCCGGAAUUAUUGGGCGUAAAGAGCUCGUAGGCGGUUUGUCGCGUCUGGUGUGAAAAUCCAGGGCUUAACCCUGGACCUGCAUCGGGUACGGGCAGACUAGAGUGCGGUAGGGGAGAUCGGAAUUCCUGGUGUAGCGGUGAAAUGCGCAGAUAUCAGGAGGAACACCGGUGGCGAAGGCGGAUCUCUGGGCCGUAACUGACGCUGAGGAGCGAAAGCAUGGGGAGCGAACAGG